AUCAGCACUGCACUUCCACAGUUCGAUUUUUUCUGACCACAAAAGUGCACCCACUUUCCACGCAAAUUUACGCCUCUUUGCAACCCAAACCAACGCACAA